GGACUACAAGGGUAUCUAAUCCCGUUCGCUCCCCUAGCUUUCGCGUUUCAGCGUCAGGUGCAGUCCAGGUGGCCGCUUUCGCCACUGGUGUUCCUCCGGAUCUCUACGCAUUUCACCACUACACCCGGAAUUCCACCACCCUCUACUGCCCUCCAGUCUGACAGUAUCGGACAACCUCUCCCGGUUGAGCCGAGAGAUUUCAUGCCCGACUUGCCAAACCGCCUGAACGCGCUUUACGCCCAGUAAAUCCGGAUAACGCUCGGUACCUACGUUUUACCGCGGCUGCUGGCAC
rnacentral:rRNA from 1 species